AGGUUGAUAGGUUAGAGGUGUAAGCAUGGUAACAUGUUCAGCUGACUAAUACUAAUAAGUCGAGGGCUUGACCUUAAUAUAUA
rnacentral:rRNA from 1 species